rnacentral:tRNA from 1 species
GCCGCCGCGGUCCGCCCCGGGCACGGCGUCCGGCUCAGCGCCGGGCACGGCGUCCGGUUCCGCGCCGGGCGGCGGCAC